rnacentral:pre_miRNA from 1 species
AUCAUACUCCCUCGGUCCGGAAAUACUUGUUAUCAAAAUGGAUAAAAGGGGAUGUAUCUAGAUGUAUUUUAGUUCUAGAUACAUUCAUUUUUAUCAAUUUUGAUGACAAGUUUUUUCGGACGGAGGGAGUAUAUG